rnacentral:tRNA from 1 species
GCGGCUUUAGCUCAGUGGAUAGAGCAAGUGCCUCCUAAGCGCUGUGUCACAAGUUCGAUUCUUGUAAGUCGCA